UACCCCUAAUGCAUUCUUGUAACAGUGAUUCCACAUCUCAGCUUGUCAUCAAAAGUGAUGUUUGUGUGUUCCAGAAUUUUGCACAUCCUUCGGAAAUCCCCAGGCUGCCAGUCAGUGUAUAGUUCAUAAUAAUGAGCCAGUGCUUGAAGUGCUUCUCUCAGACAUUCCUUUUGCCACUCACCAAGGCCCUGAUUUUUAAUUUUUUUUAAACUGUUCUCAGUUAAAAUUGUUGUCUGUGUUUCGGAGGGUAUUGCAUGGGGGGGUCUGUGUUUUUCCUCAUUUUGCUGUGGUUAGAGGCAUUUUGCCGGGGCAGGGUGUUGAAAUAUCCAGUUUUUCUUGUGUCAAAUGAGUAUUUUGUGGUGCCUGCAGCAACUUCCUAGAUUUCCAUAUGUGCCCCCAGGCCCAGUACAGUUGGGGACACCUAGUUUAGGACAGUUUCCUGUAUUCCAAAUUUGAAGUUAUUUUCCGUCAGCCAAAUUCUAAAAUGACCACGCUAAACCACAUUGCAGAAGAAUGUUGGAGGUGACAUCUCUAUUCUCUUGGCUGACAGUUCUGUUCCUUCCAGCCACAGUGGCCAGUCUAUUGACAUCUGUUCAGUCAGCUGAGUUCCAGCAAGUCAGCCGGUUCUGUGCUAGUCAGGAACAGGAUAGGAAUCUGCCUUAUACCAAGUCAGUUGGUUGGUCCUUCCAGCUCAGUACUGUCUGCACUGACUGGCAGCAGCUUUCUAGACAGGAAUCUUUUGCCAGCGCUACCUAAAAAUGCCAGGGCUUGAACCUGGAACCUUCUUCAGGCAAAGCAAGUGUUCUGCAACUGGCUACAGCCCUCAUCCUGCCCCAUCUCCACCCAGUUCUAAACAGGUUUGCAAAAUAUUGCUGCCAGCUAGCACUGGUGGUUAGAAUAAUUGAAUGGUAGAGUUGGGAGGGUUGCACCAACUGAUGCUAUAGCACCAUUGUGGAGUUCUGGGUCAGCUUACAGGUUUGCUUCCCUAAAUUGCUGUUGCUUGCAUAGUGGCUCAUUUGUUUGGUCCACAAGGUAGAUUAUAUAUAUAUAUUUAAGUGAUCCAGCAUCUCAGCUCUUAAAAACUGCCUGGCAGUUCAUCCAAAUUAGUACCUCUUCUGGCCAAAUUGGUAGCAAUAUGUGGAAUGAUUUCUUUUUUUUUUUCACUUCGCCUGCCACAAACGAUUAGUGCAAAGGUGCAGCAUAAAAAGUGGGCCCUGGUUUGCCUUCAGGAACUGGGUGGAGGAAAUUAAAGGAUCAACAUCUUAAGAGGGGCACUGAGGAUGGAUUGUUCCAUGUGACGGCCACAGGCCUCCAGGAAAUUGACUUCAUGAAAGGCUCGAGGAUGCCGGGAUGAGGAUGAGGAAGGCAGGUGAUGAUCCUAAAUCACAGUUCAGGCACUCUGAGGUUUGGAGCUUUCUUUGCAGUUGUUGUUGUUGUUGAUCCAGGGGAGAAAUAGCAGAUUUACUCUAGAAUGGAGUCCCCUCCUUGUGCAAUUAACCAUCAGUGCAGCUGCCAGCAUUGACAUUUUCAAAUAAUAAAAAGAGACUGUUUGAAUUUCUAUAAGGGAGGCUAGACACUUAAUUUUUUAAAAAAAAAAUAUCAACACCCUCAAUGAAUUGUAAGUCCUAGAGUUUUUUUGUGGAGAAGCCAUGACAGUUAAACUGUGUUGAAGGAAGGAAGGAAGGAAGGAAGGAAGGAAGGAAGGAAGGAAGGAAGGAAGGAAGGAAGGAAGGAAGGAAGAAAGAAAGAAAGAA